GUCGCCGUUGCGCUGGGUGUGGGUGUUGCCGUUUCAGUCGGCGUAGGUGUUGCACUGGGUGUGGGCGUUGCCGUUUCAGUCGGCGUCGGCGUUGC
rnacentral:tRNA from 1 species